rnacentral:rRNA from 1 species
AUACGAAGGGGGCUAGCGUUGUUCGGAAUCACUGGGCGUAAAGCGCGCGUAGGUGGAUCAAUUAGUUGAGGGUGAAAUCCCGGGGCUCAACCUCGGAACUGCCUUCAAUACUGUUGAUCUUGAGACCGCGAGAGGUGAGUGGAAUUCCUAGUGUAGAGGUGAAAUUCGUAGAUAUUAGGAAGAACACCAGUGGCGAAGGCGGCUCACUGGCUCGGUACUGACGCUGAGGUGCGAAAGCGUGGGGAGCAAACAGAAUUAGAAACCCUAGUAGUCC